GAAUUUCUUCUUUAUUUACAGUUCAAGUCAAAUCACAUGCAAAACAGUUUUCUUCUUUCAUAUGAAUACCGUAGUUAGCAAAAAAAAACACAGUAUUUAAUAGAAAUUAAAUAUACAAAAAUAUAGCUUACAAAAAAAGUGAGUUUUUUUAUUUACGUUUUAAAAAAUAUUCUGCUGCAGAAUUUUCUCUUUAGUGUACAAACACGUCUAUGAAACCGAGAACCUGAGGUCUCACAAACAAAAAAACAAAAAAAGCACUGACUGAACAAUAGAACAUUGGACUGAAGGACAAGUAAACGCCGCAAAAUAAAGGGGGGGGGGGGGGAACAUUUCUUCAGUAUAAAACACUAUAUUAGGAGUUUCCUGUAGGCCUCAUGCACAUGACCGUAUGUAUUAGUCUGCAAAUGGCAGAUCCACAAAAUGCGGUCCGUGUUGCAUUCGCCUUAUUUGCGGACCCAUUGACUUCAUGGGUCUGCAUUAUGCGGACACGUGUAGGCCAUGUUCCAUCUCUUUCGGGAAUGGACAUCCAUAUGUCCGUUCUGCAAAAAUAUAGAACAUGUUGUUUGCAAAAUGUGGGCUAAGGGCUCAUUGAAGAAGUCAGUGGGUUCAGAAGAAAAAAGACCCGCGAUUUGCGGCCUGCAAAAAACAGAUACAGGCAUGUGCAUGAGGCCUAAUCUCGCGACACCGAGACUUACUGAACACGUGACGGUAUAUAAAAAGGUUAUUUCGAAACACAAAAAUACAGAGAUUUAUUUUUUUAUUUAAUUUAAAUAAUAAUAAAUAAAAAGGGCCGCGACACACGUCAUUGCCCCGUCAUAUUCUUCUAGAGGGUACAAACUAGGAAUGAUGGAUAGAUUAAGUCAUUGGCACCACCGUUCAUUUUAAAAAUUCUAGAUACCACUCCCACCAGGCAUAAUAAUGGAGCACAGAUUCAUACUCCGUUCGAUAGCGGAGUUUUUUUAUGCUCAUUGUUGACUCUGCUGAGUGACAUUAGCACAUAAAAUGGCUGUCACUCAGUCUUAAACAAAAAAAAUAAAAUCUGAAUAUUUUCACUAGAUCAACUUUGAAUGCGUUAAUACUGCCCCCUAUGGGCGCUAGCAUAGAUACAAAGGUCUAGGAAAGGAAACUCUCUCUCCCUCUGUCUGGAAUUGCCCUUUAAAGUGUUAAUUGGUGCACUAUUCACGUGGCCAGGGACUGGACCUAUCAUCACUAUUGAUAGGAGACUAAGUGACAUUUAUUGGACAGGUCAUGUGACCUUAAAGGCUUUAUAAAAAAUACAGGGGAGGAGGGACAAAUCUAUUGUCUGUACAUCACAGUGGCAACACUUUUGUUUCGAUUACCUGUACACAACCAUGAAGGCCAGUCAUGAACCCGCAAAAGCACUGUAACCCAUUACAAAAGGAAACCGACACCCCCUUACUUUCUGACAGAUUGGUUCGGCCUACAAAAUGGCUGCCUCCAUUUGUGUGGCAAAGAUACAAUCAACCAAACCAUUUCCGCAUAAUACUAGUUAGGCAGCUUUCCCAGUGAAGUUAUCCGACUAGUGUCCAGUUAAUAUUCUGCUAGUUAAAGAUUUUUUAUUUUUAUUUUUUUUACACCACAAGAUGGCUGCCACCAUGGUCCAUUUAAAGGGACAAAAAUUGUCAACCGAUUUGACCAAAUGACGACGACUUUUUUUUUAUUUUUCAUGAUGAGACACCGCAAAGAAAAUAAAAAUACUAAUAUAAUUGGCUAAAGUCACCAGAGGGCUGAUAAUUCCAAAGAGAUCCAACAAGUACCAAUACCAAAAAUACCCUAAAACCCAUUAUAUACUCUACAGACAUCUUCCUAUAGGCAAGUAUGAACACUCGACUAUUUAAAUCACUCCGGCACGACUAGAAAUUUACCAGUACACUAUACUUAACCAAUCACCAUGGGCGAUUCAUAUGGAAUCAAAAAGCUAAAAAACACUUGAAUUUUUUUUUCUCUUUUUUAUUUUAAAUUAAGGAUGGCUCAUCCACUGGAGUAGCAUAUUAUGGAUUGAAAGAACAGUACCAAAGCUGUAGAUACUGUACAUCAUGGAUCAAACAAUCCAAAAAGUUUGGUCAAUAUUUUAUUUAAUUUUUUUGAAUUAUUUUUUUUUAAAUGGUCAGUGCUUAGAAGUGCUCACAGAUUAAUUAGGCUAUUACUUAUUCUGAAAUACCUAAAAAAGGGUGGAUGCGUUUGAGGGUGGGACUCCAUAAACUGAGGGCCCCAGGGAGUACAACAGGCAGGGACUGUACAGCUCAGCAACCCCAAUGGCACUUGCUGGGAGAUUUGUGUAACUGAAAUCUACAGAAUGAAAAUGGAGUUCAAUGAAUGAACGGGAAUGGACGCGUAAUACCGCGACGCGGAAAUCCACAGCACUGUCAAAGUACUAACAAAAUUGGUUAAUAUUGGCAAUAGAAAUCUAUAUAACGUACAUCUAGACCAAAUCUGCAUAAAAAGCUGAGUCAUUUGCAUUAGUUAUCCUGUACUGAUCACGACUGAUCAAUUAUAUAAACCUGCAGAGCUGCACUCACAAUUCUGCUGGCUGAUACUACAUGUGAAGUGGCACAGCUGAGCUCCUUUAAUGCUGGGGAAAAAGUCACAUUUUCCUGUGUUAGUUUACCGUAUAGUGUCUGGUGUAAAGACAACGCCUCCCAAGCAACACAUUACCAAAGCAAGCUCUAGGCAGACACUGAAAAAGAGGGAUUAUUGUGAGAUAUAAAAAAAAUGCCUGCAGAAUUGUGAGUGCAGCUCUGCAGUAUAACACA